GAAAGGACCAGAGAACUGCUAAUUCACAAACCUGAUACUAAACCAUCAGACCUUUC
rnacentral:tRNA from 1 species